rnacentral:rRNA from 1 species
AGCGGAAACGAGUUAUCUGAACCUUCGGGGAACGAUAACGGCGUCGAGCGGCGGACGGGUGAGUAAUGCCUAGGAAAUUGCCCUGAUGUGGGGGAUAACCAUUGGAAACGAUGGCUAAUACCGCAUAAUGCCUACGGGCCAAAGAGGGGGACCUUCGGGCCUCUCGCGUCAGGAUAUGCCUAGGUGGGAUUAGCUAGUUGGUGAGGUAAUGGCUCACCAAGGCGACGAUCCCUAGCUGGUCUGAGAGGAUGAUCAGCCACACUGGAACUGAGACACGGUCCAGACUCCUACGGGAGGCAGCAGUGGGGAAUAUUGCACAAUGGGCGCAAGCCUGAUGCAGCCAUGCCGCGUGUGUGAAGAAGGCCUUCGGGUUGUAAAGCACUUUCAGUCGUGAGGAAGGUAGUGUAGUUAAUAGCUGC